AAAUUGAAGAGUUUGAUCAUGGCUCAGAUUGAACGCUGGCGGCAGGCCUAACACAUGCAAGUCGAGCGGUAGCACAGAGAGCUUGCUCUCGGGUGACGAGCGGCGGACGGGUGAGUAAUGUCUGGGAAACUGCCUGAUGGAGGGGGAUAACUACUGGAAACGGUAGCUAAUACCGCAUAAUGUCGCAAGACCAAAGUGGGGGACCUUCGGGCCUCAUGCCAUCAGAUGUGCCCAGAUGGGAUUAGCUAGUAGGUGGGGUAACGGCUCACCUAGGCGACGAUCCCUAGCUGGUCUGAGAGGAUGACCAGCCACACUGGAACUGAGACACGGUCCAGACUCCUACGGGAGGCAGCAGUGGGGAAUAUUGCACAAUGGGCGCAAGCCUGAUGCAGCCAUGCCGCGUGUGUGAAGAAGGCCUUCGGGUUGUAAAGCACUUUCAGCGGGGAGGAAGGCGGUAAGGUUAAUAACCUCAUCGAUUGACGUUACCCGCAGAAGAAGCACCGGCUAACUCCGUGCCAGCAGCCGCGGUAAUACGGAGGGUGCAAGCGUUAAUCGGAAUUACUGGGCGUAAAGCGCACGCAGGCGGUCUGUCAAGUCGGAUGUGAAAUCCCCGGGCUCAACCUGGGAACUGCAUUCGAAACUGGCAGGCUAGAGUCUUGUAGAGGGGGGUAGAAUUCCAGGUGUAGCGGUGAAAUGCGUAGAGAUCUGGAGGAAUACCGGUGGCGAAGGCGGCCCCCUGGACAAAGACUGACGCUCAGGUGCGAAAGCGUGGGGAGCAAACAGGAUUAGAUACCCUGGUAGUCCACGCCGUAAACGAUGUCGAUUUGGAGGUUGUGCCCUUGAGGCGUGGCUUCCGGAGCUAACGCGUUAAAUCGACCGCCUGGGGAGUACGGCCGCAAGGUUAAAACUCAAAUGAAUUGACGGGGGCCCGCACAAGCGGUGGAGCAUGUGGUUUAAUUCGAUGCAACGCGAAGAACCUUACCUGGUCUUGACAUCCACAGAACUU
rnacentral:rRNA from 1 species